rnacentral:lncRNA from 1 species
GAAAUAGAUGAAAAAUAAUUUAAUUUUGAAUUUUUGUGCUCAUGAAACAUAAGAAAAGUAAUAUUUUUCAUUAAAAUAAAAAUUUAAUAUAAGGCUUAGCAACUAUUGUGUGUAAAUCAUGCUGGUGCAUUUUAUUUUUGAGAUGAGUGAUUUUUGACCAAAGUUUGAAAUAUUUCAAACAGAUUUCUAAAUGGAUUUGAAAUAGGCUUUGAAUUGAAGAAAGAGAAAAGAAAAGGAAACCCACACCUCUCCCUCUCUCAGAUUUUGGCCU